rnacentral:rRNA from 1 species
UCUCCUACGGGGCGCAGCAGUCGGGAAUAUUGCGCAAUGGAGGAAACUCUGACGCAGUGACGCCGCGUAUAGGCCGCCGGUUUUCGGCUUGUCCCCUCUUGUCGUGCGGGCCGCCAUUGCCAGUACCUCAGGAGGAAGCUCCGGCUAACUAUGUGCCAGCAGCCGCGGUAAUACAUAGGGAGCAAGCGUUAUCCGGAUUUAUUGGGUGUAAAGGGUGCGUAGACGGGAAAUUAAGUUCGUUGUGAAAUCCCUCGGCUUAACUGAGGAACUGAACCUAAAACUGAUUUUCUUGAGCACUGGAGAGG